UGUAGUCCCAGCUACUUGGGAGGCUGAGGCAGGAGAAUAGCGUGAACCCAGGAGGCAGAGGUUGUAGUGAGCCGAAAUUGCGUCACUGCAUUCCAGCCUGGGCGACAGAGCAAGACUCCAUCUCAAAAAAAAUAAAAAUAGAAAAAAAAAAUUAGCCGGGCUUGGUGGCAUGCUCUUAUACUCCCAGCUACCUGAGAGGCUGAGGUGGGAGGACUGCUUGAGCCCGGGAGGUCAAGGCUGAGAUCUUGCCACUGCACUGCAGCCUGGGCAACAGAGUGAGACCUUGUCUCAAACAAAUAAUUACAGAGAACUAUGGGGGGUGGGGAGGUUGUCACAUGAUACAUUUUAGUCAGUCUGCACUGAGAUGUUAAAUGAUUGAUACAUUUUAUGUCAUUAUAAUUUACAAAUUAUCUUCCUACCUCCUGUGUCUAAUACAAUCCCAGACAGAUUUGAAACUCCCUGAGAGAAGGGCCAAGCUUCAUACUUAUUUAUAACCAUGAUAGCAUUUAGUAGAAUCCAACACAUCACUAAUUCUCAAUCAAAAUGUAUGGAAUGAGUGGAAAACAGUAAGAUGUGCUACAUGGUUGUCAGAGAUUCUGGUUUAGGGAGCCUUGAUUUAGUUACUUUUCAGGGUAAUUCCUUUUAAGCAGCUUGGUUAUUAGAACUUCCUUGGGAGAGUUACUGUGAUUAUUUUGCAUUCAUGUGCUUAGUUCAAGACAGAGUCCAUAGUUCAAAUCAUUGAAAAUGACUCAUUAAAAUUUUCCUCUUUUUUUUCCUAAUAAACAUGGAAGAAGAGCCAUUUAUCCAUUAGAUGCUAUGGAUCGAGCAACUAAAUGGCAAAAGUAAAAAUCCCUACACAAGGUUUAGAACAAAACUAGUUGACAAGGUAUCCCCACAAACCCCAAAUGUAAGAGGCGUGAGGAGGAACCACAGACAGCUGCAAGACCUGAGUGAAGUCAGCAAAUGCACAGAUAAAAACAAGGGCAUGACAAAGCAUGUGGUGGACAUGAAGAGAGGAGAAUCCAAAAAUAGCAUCAGGUUCCGCCAGGAAAGUGUGGCAAGAACAGCAGCUGAAAACAGGAAGGAUUUCGCCCCAUGCAGUAGUGAGUGAGUGCAAGGGGCCCAUGGUGAGAACUGAAAGCCUAGAGCAAUCCUUCCUUCCGGGAUUAAGACCCCUCACAGAGGGGAGACUCUUAAGAUGGAAUGAGAAUUUUGCAGAUGUAGACUAGAGAAAUGUAAGAAAAAGAAAGUGCAGAAAAAGGUGAGAAAAGGGAAAUUUCCUAAGGCAAGCUUCCCUAUUUUAGCACACUAAUUAAAACAACAGAAAAGUUUGUGAGGUGCUAUGGUCUGAUGUUUGUGUUCACUCCUCCCAAUGCACGUGUUGAUAUCUCAUCACCAAUGUGAUGGUAUUAGGAAGAAGGGCUUUUGGGAGGUGAUUGUGUGUUGGUGGUGGAGCCCUUACAAAUGGGAUUAGUGCCCUUAUGAAAGAGGCCCCAGAGAGCUCCCUAUCCUUUCCACCACCGCCACCUGAGGACACAGCAGGAACGCACUGUGUGGACCAGGAAGCAGGACCUCACGAGACACUGAAUCUACCAAUGUCUGUAUUUGUCAAGUCCAGUCUUGAUCUUGGACUCCCCAGCCUCCAGAACUGUGAAAAAUAAAUUUCUGUGGUGUAUAAGCCACCCAGUUUAUGGCAUUUUGUUAAAGGAGCCCAAAUGAACCAAGACACUAGGUGAAGUUGCAAAAGCUCUCCGGAACUCUGCCUCCUUCUAGGUGUUAAGGAGAAGUAACCUGCCUAAGGAGGAGCACUUGAGAAGAAAUGACAUCAAAGAUGUACAAAGUUAUCAUCAGAAAAACAAUGAAGGCCAGGUGCGGUGGCUCAUGCCUAUAAUCCCAGCAAUCUCAUCUCUACAAAAAAUAAAAAAUCAAAAAUCAGCCAGAUAUGGGAUCUUGCUAUGUUGCCCAGGCUGGUCUCAAACUCCUAGCACCAAGCAACCCUCCUGCCUCAGCCUCCCAAAUUCCUAGGAUUACAGGCACAUCACAGCCUUCUUGCUCUUAGGAACACUAGCCAGCACGAAAUCACUGUGCUUGGGGCCUUUUCAACAGCAAAAUCAACAGGAAGCACAAAAAUGUGGCAAAAUGACACUAACUAGACCAUGCUAAGGAAGCUUGUUCACAGCGUGAGCCAAAACAAGAAGGCCGAGCAUCGCCUUGUUCCACCUCAGCUGGGAACGUGCAUUUGAGCAACUCAAAUCUUGUGUCACUCAUGCAUGCCUGUGAAUUACCUCAAAAGCACUGUCUCCAAGGAAUGCUGUUUCCUGCCUGUCGUGAGAGACACAAAGUGAACUUAGUGUUGGGAGAUGGAAGCUGGAUGGCUCUCAGGGGCUGACCCGCAGGGUGCCGGACUUCGGGAUAUAGCAGAGAGAGCUUGGCAUGACUUAUUACUCCAGGCUGUAGAAUCCUGGAAAAGAGCUACCAUGCAGCCUACGCCUGGUCAACUGGAGGACCACCUUAGUGGAAACGAGACAAUCUGGGCCUCUGGCCUGCCAUGUGCACAAGAAUAACAAUUGCUUUUGUUUAACAUGCAGAAGGAAUAUUUGAUCAAUUUUAACCAGGUAUUUGCAUCUUGGUAUGCUGUCUUAAUUGCCAAAGUUUGUUUUAAGUCUUUAACUUCUAUGAUCCUCUAGUAAAAUGAAUGUAUGAUUUUAGGAAAUUACAAAAACCGGUUGGGGCAGUCCAUCCUUGCUCUUUAGUGGUCCACAGAACAUUGGACCAACUAAGGCAUUAAAGCUCUACAUUGGGGGUAAGACUCCUGGUUGGCACUGGGGUCUUUAUUGAAAUCUGCCCGGAUUAAAUGGUCCUAGUUUACUAAUGCCCAGUCUGAGGAGAGUCAGGAGGGACAGAGGUACUUUUCUGAAGUAGAGAGCUGUCUUCGACUUGGCAAGUCCCCACAGGGUCUAACAAGACAAGCAUUAAAUGCAAUAGUUCAAGGUGAAAUUGACUUGGUUAUGUUAAUAACCAGAUGGUCAGCAACAGAGCAAGGAAAGAAGAAAGAGUAAUAGAAUAGAUGAAAAGAAUUAAAUUUUUCUCAGCUUUAGUUUGGUA
rnacentral:lncRNA from 1 species